rnacentral:rRNA from 1 species
UACGUAGGGGGCAAGCGUUGUCCGGAUUUAUUGGGCGUAAAGAGCGUGUAGGCGGCCAUACAGGUCAGCUGUGAAAACUCGAGGCUCAACCUCGAGACGUCGGUUGAAACCGUAUGGCUAGAGUCCGGAAGAGGAGAGUGGGAAUUCCCGGUGUAGCGGUGAAAUGCGCAGAUAUCGGGAAGAACACCCGUGGCGAAGGCGGCUAGCUCUGGGACGGUACGUGACGCUGAGACGCGAAAGCGUGGGGAGCGAACGAGGACUUG